rnacentral:tRNA from 13 species
UCCCACAUGGUCUAGUGGUUAGGAUACCUGGCUCUCACCCAGGAGGCCCGGGUUCGAUUCCCGGUGUGGGAA